AGGCAGAUUUCAUUUAAAUUCGGUUAUAAACCAUAAAAUUGACAGUUGAUGGGUUUCAAUCCUUCGAGACGGUCCACAAUAAGUAGUCUGCACCAUCAAUUGAAUUGUCACUCUACACAGUUCUCUACUUGUCGUCCAGAAACAUGAAAAACUUACUGAUAUCGACCAGUGUGUUUGUUGUCACCUUUCUACUGGCUGGCACAGGUUUGUUGUCUUGCGGUACUCACGCAGCGAGUCUGCAUAUUAGCGAUGGAGAAUCAUCACUCCAAUGGUCGAAUGAUGCGACACGAUUGGCAAUUCCCGAACAAAAUGUUUUGUCGAGACGAUAACGACAACCGCCUUUUACUCCUAAUCCUAACACUGCUGACAGAAGGAGCCGGCAACACGUGCCUAACCCACUUUUCGACCAAGAAUAUCUGAAGAAAUCGCAAAUGAUCUUUAACACCCAUCAACAACUUUACGGUCCUCUAUGGGAAUUAAUCGGGCAGAUUACGAGAAAUAUCGACGACACUUUAGAUCUUAGCAAAGUCUUGAAUUACUACAAAGACAGCAGUAAUAUCAACCGGAACCCGGAACUAUAUCCCGCAGAAAUUUCAUAGUGAUCGGUACAAGUUCCACAAAUUGUUCCACCAAAUGUACCACAUGCGCAACGAAAUUUCUCAUCAGAGUUAUUCGGUGGCAUGUUUCAAUUCAGACAAGAAAGCACUGAUUGAGGUGGCGAAAUACGUGGAUGAAGCGAAAAGCGAAAAAAUUAGUGGCUUUAACACUACCACAAGUCCUAGCCCUACUGGUAACAGUAACAGGCUCGGUUACGAACCCUUAAUCACGUCGGGUCUUUCACAAUGGACUUCAUUUUCAUCUAGGAGUAGUGCAGCAAGUGAUCAGACAUGCUCCCUUCCUCCUACUAAUUCUGCUACUACUUCUCGGCCUUCAAGGCGUAAUAUUGGGUAGUGUGGCAGACAAAAGUAUGAAUAAACUGCUGUGUAUAACAUGACUGCAAGUGCAACUUUUUACUGUGAUUAUUAAUGGGAAAUCAUAAGUCAUCACAACGGGAUUGGGGUUAAUUUCACUUUUUGUAGUUUGAUGAAAAUUAUUCGAUACAUUAACGAACUAAGUAAAUAAUAGAAAAUUGAUUGCCUCAAAAUUGGUCCGGAAAUAUUGCCCUUCUCGUU